ACGCUCGACACCUACGUGAGGCAGCAGUGGGGAAUAUUGCACAAUGGGGGAAACCCUGAUGCAGCGACGCCGCGUGAGCGAAGAAGUAUUUCGGUAUGUAAAGCUCUAUCAGCAGGGAAGAAACUGACGGUACCUGACUAAGAAGCACCAGCUAAAUACGUGCCAGCAGCCGCGGUAAUCUGAGCGGGCUGGCAAGGC
rnacentral:rRNA from 1 species